GACGAACGCUGGCGGCGUGCUUAACACAUGCAGGUCGUACGGUAAGGCCCUUUCGGGGGUACACGAGUGGCGAACGGGUGAGUAACACGUGAGUAACCUGCCCACAACUUUGGGAUAACGCUAGGAAACUGGUGCUAAUACUGGAUAUGUGCUCCUGCUGCAUGGUGGGGGUUGGAAAGCUCCGGCGGUUGUGGAUGGACUCGCGGCCUAUCAGCUUGUUGGUGGGGUAGUGGCCUACCAAGGCGGCGACGGGUAGCCGGCCUGAGAGGGUGACCGGCCACAUUGGGACUGAGAUACGGCCCAGACUCCUACGGGAGGCAGCAGUGGGGAAUAUUGCACAAUGGGCGCAAGCCUGAUGCAGCAACGCCGCGGGCGGGAUGACGGCCUUCGGGUUGGAAACCGCUUUCAGCAGGGACGAAGCUUUUUGUGACGGUACCUGCAGAAGAAGCACCGGCUAACUACGUG
rnacentral:rRNA from 1 species